CCCUGGCUCAGAUUGAACGCUGGCGGCAUGCCUUACACAUGCAAGUCGAACGGCAGCACGGGAGCAAUCCUGGUGGCGAGUGGCGAACGGGUGAGUAAUAUAUCGGAACGUGCCCAGUCGUGGGGGAUAACGUAGAGAAAUUUACGCUAAUACCGCAUACGAUCUAAGGAUGAAAGCGGGGGACUCGCAAGAGCCUCGCGCGAUUGGAGCGGCUGAUAUCAGAUUAGGUUGUUGGUGAGGUAAAAGCUCACCAAGCCGACGAUCUGUAGCUGGUUUGAGAGAACGACCAGCCACACUGGGACUGAGACACGGCCCAGACUCCUACGGGAGGCAGCAGUGGGGAAUUUUGGACAAUGGGCGAAAGCCUGAUCCAGCAAUGCCGCGUGCAGGAAGAAGGCCUUCGGGUUGUAAACUGCUUUUGUACGGAACGAAACGGUCUGCCCUAAUACGGCGGGCUAAUGACGGUACCGUAAGAAUAAGCACCGGCUAACUA
rnacentral:rRNA from 1 species